rnacentral:misc_RNA from 1 species
GGAUAAUGAAGCAUCAGCAAUCAGGUUGUCAGCAAUGAUUCAUUCUUAGGUUAUAUGUGUUUACAGGGGUGAUAUAAAGUUGUGAUAUAUAUUAGAAGGAUCAUUUUCAGAGUAUGAAUUUGUAAUCCCAAUAGAACAAUAUUGAGGGUGAAAAAAAUUCAAAAGAUAUUGUACUAAAACCAACUCAACUCGCCUAAGCUUAAUUGCAUCCUACUCAACCUUACUGAAAAGCAUAGGAACAAUUUCUUACCUAGUAAACUUGCAUUUAUUUUUUGCACUCUUACUAAUUGAUGUUAUAUUACUUCCAGGGAUG